AUUGAACGCUGGCGGCAUGCCUUACACAUGCAAGUCGAACGGCAGCACGGGAGCUUGCUCCUGGUGGCGAGUGGCGAACGGGUGAGUAAAGCAUCGGAACGUGCCCUGAAGUGGGGGAUAACGUAGCGAAAGUUACGCUAAUACCGCAUAUUCUGUGAGCAGGAAAGCAGGGGGACCGCAAGGCCUUGUGCUUUAGGAGCGGCCGAUGUCGGAUUAGCUAGUUGGUGAGGUAAAGGCUCACCAAGGCGACGAUCCGUAGCGGGUCUGAGAGGAUGAUCCGCCACACUGGGACUGAGACACGGCCCAGACUCCUACGGGAGGCAGCAGUGGGGAAUUUUGGACAAUGGGCGCAAGCCUGAUCCAGCCAUGCCGCGUGAGUGAAGAA
rnacentral:rRNA from 1 species